AUUUGAUGAUCUUCCUUGGUCCUCAAAGCUGGAAAUCACCACAUCUGUGGUGGUGUUUUAUUUGGACAUAUCAUAUUCAAGUCUAUAUUAUAAUUGUGUGUAUGUUAUCUUAAUGGCAACGAUGUAUAACAAAAGUCUUUGGCUCUGCCCUCCCCUCAAAUGUAACCAAGUGCCUAUUUUUAUCUUAUCAAAAGCAAUCUGCAUGGCCCAGAAGCUGGCUGCCCCAGCACAACAGGAAUGAGACAACAAACAAACAUGAAUCUGCAUCUUUACCUCAAAAACAGCCUCAAAAACACUCAGUAGGAGUUGCUGGCCCAUGAGAUCAGAAGCCAAAAGAAAGAUUUCAAAAGAAGUCCCCAACAUCCAGCCUGGUUCAUACAAACACAGAGUGCAGGUUCAUGGCCUUGGGUUACAUAUGUUGUACUAAAUCAUAAACUUAUCCAGAGUGAGGACUUUGUUUCAUUUCGUUUUUAUAUUCUCAGCACCUAGCAUGGGCACUUAACACCUAUUUGUUGAACUGAAUUACUGGAUCCUUAAGAAAACUGCAUCCUCUUUGAAAGGUUUCUUUAUUUUAAAACAAGGGAUUUGUAUUUGUGGGAAAGAGAUGGAAAGACAUCAUAUACAUAAAGAGAUUUCCUCUCUACUUCAAAAGAACCCAGAACUCCUUGGCCAUGGGGAAGCCCAAUGUCUCCUGCAACGAAGAGGAGAGUGCCUUGGCUGGGUUGGACUCUUCAGUAAUGCAAGCGUAGGACUGUUCCACCAUCUGCUGAUCACAGCCAGGUGUUAUAGUGGAUAGAGUCUUGGAGUCAGGAAUACCUGAGACAGAAUCCUACCUUGGAUGCUUAGUGGGUGGUGUGGUGGGUAAGUCACUUAACUACUCUUAGCCUCAGUUUUCUCAUCUGAAAAAUGGAGAUAAUAAGAGCACCUGGCCUCACAGGGUUGUGGUGAGGAUUAAAUGAGAAAAUAGGCAUAAAACACUUUGCAAACCAAG
rnacentral:lncRNA from 1 species